rnacentral:rRNA from 1 species
GGUUAUAUAAAUUGUUAAUUUAGUUUGUUGUAAGUUGUUUAAAGUUAAAAAAUCAAUUAUAUGUUAAUGAAAGUAAUGAUUAGAUAAAUUUUUUUGUAGACGAUAGAGAAUAGUACUGAAGGGGAAAGUAUAAGGGUAAAAAUUUUUAUAGUAGAUAUUAAGUAUUGUACCUUGUGUAUUAGGGGGAGUCAAAAUAAAUUAAAUAAUGUUAAUAAUCCCGAAACAAAAAUAGCUAGUUUAACAAAAAGUUUUUAUAACAUAAAAAUUUUUAAUGUUAAACUAAAGAUGAAAUGUUAUACGAGUUUUGUUAUAUCUGGUUUUCUAAGAAAUAAAUAUAAUUUAAACUUUUAAAGUUAUUUAAAAAGGUUAAAAGGUUAAGAAUAGGAGGGGUAAGCUUCUUAUUCUAUAAAAUUUAAUUAAUAAAUUAAUUAAAGAAAAUGAACUGUCCUAGGCUUAAAGGUAGCCAUGGUAAAAAAGUGUUUUAACUAAAAAUGGUUCGUAAGUUAUUUAUUUAAUUUUUCUUUGGUAUUAGAAUAUUGUUAUGAAUAUAAUUUAUCAAGUUAUUAUGAGUUUAUUAGUAAUAGAUAUUAAUGUUUUAUAUUAACAUUAAAAUUGAGUUAAAGAUUUAAUAAUGUUUAGGUAUAAUAAAGGAACUCGGCAAAUAUUUUUCUUUGCCUGUUUAUCAAAAACAUGUCUAUUUGGAGGUAUAAAUAGUCUGGCCUGCUCACUGACACAUAGAGUUUAAGAGCCGCGGUAUUUUGACCGUGCAAAGGUAGCAUAAUCAUUAGUUUCUUAAUUAGGAACUUGUAUGAAUGGUCGGACAAAAGAAAAGCUGUCUCUGUUGUAAAGAUAGAAAUUAACUUUUAAGUGAAAAGGCUUAAAUUUUUCAAGGGGACGAUAAGACCCUAUAAAGCUUUAUAUUUCGUUUAAAUUUUAUUGAAUUAUAUAAAUAAAAAUUUAAUUUAAUCAUUAUAUUGUGUUGGGGCGACAUAGGUAUAAUUUAUAUUAACUGCUUGAUAAGAAAACAAAUAAUAAAUGAUUUAUAAAAAUGAUCCUUUUUAAAGAUUUAAGAUUAAGUUACUUUAGGGAUAACAGCGUUAUUUUUUUUGAGAGUUCAUAUCGAAAAAAAAGUUUGCGACCUCGAUGUUGAAUUAAAAUAUCUUUAUAGUGUAGCCGUUAUAAAAGAAGGUCUGUUCGACCUUUAAAUUUUUACAUGAUUUGAGUUCAGACCGGCGUAAGCCAGGUUGGUUUCUAUCUCUUGAUAAUAAAAGAUUAUUUUAGUACGAAAGGAUUGAGUAAUUGAAAAUUUUUUAUAAAGUGGAUU